AUUGAACGCUGGCGGCGUGCCUAACACAUGCAAGUCGAACGAGUGGCGGACGGGUGAGUAAUGUCUGGGAAACUGCCCGAUGGAGGGGGCUAACUACUGGAAACGGUAGCUAAUACCGCAUACCAUCGGAGGUGCCCACAUGGGCUUAGCUAGUGGGUGGGGUAACGGUUCACCUCGGCGACGAUCCCUGGCUGGUCUGAGAGGAUGACCAGCCACACUGGAACGGAGACACGGGCCAGACUCCUACGGGAGGCAGAAGUGGGGAAUAUUGCACAAGGGGCGCAAGCCUGAUACAGCUAUGCCGCGUGUAUGAAGAAGGCCUUCGGGUCGUAAAGUACUUUCAGCGAGGAGGCGUUACUCGCAGAAGAAGCACCGGCUAACUCCGUGCCAGCAGCCGCGGUAAUUC
rnacentral:rRNA from 1 species